GAUGAACGCUAGCUACAGGCUUAACACAUGCAAGUCGAGGGGAAGCGGCAUCGAAAGCUUGCUUUUGAUGGGCGUCGACCGGCGCACGGGUGAGUAACGCGUAUCCAACCUGCCCAUCACUUGGGAAUAACCUUGCGAAAGUAAGACUAAUGCCCAAUGACAUCCCACGAAGGCAUCCGAAUGGGAUUAAAGAUUUAUCGGUGAUGGAUGGGGAUGCGUCUGAUUAGCUUGUUGGCGGGGUGACGGCCCACCAAGGCAACGAUCGGUAGGGGUUCUGAGAGGAAGGUCCCCCACAUUGGAACUGAGACACGGUCCAAACUCCUACGGGAGGCAGCAGUGAGGAAUAUUGGUCAAUGGGCGAGAGCCUGAACCAGCCAAGUAGCGUGCAGGAUGACGGCCCUAUGGGUUGUAAACUGCUUUUAUAAGGGAAUAAAGUGGGUCACGUGUGACUUUUUGCAUGUACCUUAUGAAUAAGGACCGGCUAAUUCCGUG
rnacentral:rRNA from 1 species